rnacentral:rRNA from 1 species
UCGACCGCCUGGGGAGUACGGCCGCAAGGUUAAAACUCAAAUGAAUUGACGGGGGCCCGCACAAGCGGUGGAGCAUGUGGUUUAAUUCGAUGCAACGCGAAGAACCUUACCUGGUCUUGACAUCCACAGAACUUUCCAGAGAUGGAUUGGUGCCUUCGGGAACUGUGAGACAGGUGCUGCAUGGCUGUCGUCAGCUCGUGUUGUGAAAUGUUGGGUUAAGUCCCGCAACGAGCGCAACCCUUAUCCUUUGUUGCCAGCGGUC